ACCUUGAUAGCUUAGUUGGUAAAGCACUUGUCUAGCGUGUAAGGGUCAUGAGUUCAAAUCUUAUUUGAACUG
rnacentral:tRNA from 1 species